rnacentral:rRNA from 1 species
UUGGAGGGCAAGUCUGGUGCCAGCAGCCGCGGUAAUUCCAGCUCCAAUAGCGUAUAUUAAAGUUGUUGCAGUUAAAAAGCUCGUAGUUGAACCUCGGAAUCAAUGGGUCGGUCAUGCCAAUGGUAUGUACUGGCCUCUUUGGUUCUCACCUUCUAAGGAACCAUAAUGUCAUUUAUUUGAUGUUGUGGGAAAUUAGGACUGUUACCUUGAAAAAAUUAGAGUGUUUAAAGCAGGCCAACGCUUGAAUACAUUAGCAUGGAAUAAUGAAAUAGGACAUCGCAUUCUAUUUUGUUGGUUUCUAGGAUCGAUGUAAUGAUUAAUAGGGAUAGUUGGGGGCAUUAGUAUUCAAUUGUCAGAGGUGAAAUUCUUGGAUUUAUUGAAGACUAACUACUGCAAAGCAUUUGCCAAGGAUGUUUUCAUUAAUCAAGAACGAAAGUUAGGGGAUCGAAGACGAUCAG